rnacentral:tRNA from 1 species
GGGGCUGUAGCUCAGUGGUAGAGUGCUUGCCUAGCAUGCAUGAGGCACUGAGUUCAAUCCUCAGUACCACA